rnacentral:rRNA from 1 species
UACGUAGGGGGCAAGCGUUGUCCGGAUUUAUUGGGCGUAAAGAGCGUGUAGGCGGCCCGGUUAGUCCGCUGUGAAAGUCCAGGGCUCAACCCUGGAAUGCCGGUGGAUACUGUCGGGCUAGAGUCCGGAAGGGGCGAGUGGAAUUCCUGGUGUAGCGGUGAAAUGCGUUGAGAUCGGAAGGAACGCCCGUGGCGAAAGCGAGGUCCUGGACGUCUACUGACGCUGAGACGCGAAAGCUAGGGGAGCAAACGGG